ACUGGUGUGGUGAUGGUUGUCAUUCCAAAGACCUCAGCAGCAGCCUCUGGGUCAAAGGGUCCUUCCUUUGCAGCAGAAGCUAGAGCUCUCCCUUUGUCAGAACAGCUGCUGGGCACAGGCUGCCCCCAAGAUGUGGUAUAUCUCCAGAGGUUUAAAGAAGAAUUCAGACAGACAACUGGCACUGAUGAAAAUGCUGUCAAAUCUUGGGACCAACAGAUCAUCAAAAACAAACUUUGCUAACAUCCCAACCCUUUUUUUACCAAGCAACUGGCCACAAUUAUAUUGUAUCUGACCGGGAAGGACCAAAUCCAAGAAAACUUCAGCAUGUGAUCUACAAAUGUGCUCAUUUUGAUCUUCCACUACACCCUUUAAACUGUUGCAAAGGAGAUGAUGGGAACAGCUUACUCAUGGGAGCCAUUCCAGCAUAAUGUAUCACAUGUGGUGAGAGAAACACAGCUUGUAUGUACAUUUGCAGAGCAGCCCAGUGUGGAGGCAACAUUUCUCUUCAUGAGCUUUGGCUGAAACAGGAGAAUAAAAGGGAAGUGAGAGGGAGGGGAAAUCCUCUC
rnacentral:lncRNA from 1 species